ACAAGACACAUUGAAAUCGCAUUUCCUGUGUCACUCGUGAAGCAAAUAUUUUUACAAAGAAACAAGAGAUUGGACUUGGAGUUAAUGUUCGAGUGCAAACUUUUAGCUGCAAUAUAACUCACAUGGAGUGGAUCCAAGCUAUUUGAAUAGCGAAAUGUUUUAUGUAGAAGCUCAGUACGACUUUCAAAGUCUUGGAAACUUCUAGACAAUAAAUACGUAAUGCUACUAGCUACAAAAAGCCCAGUUAAUUGAUCAUAAGUUAGAUCUUCCAAAAGUAAUUUUUCAAGACUCUGGCAAAUCUAUAAAAUUUGUUUCAAUUAUUUGAAUAGAUUAAAAUAAUGAUAACUACAAACAUGAGUUAUUUCCUUAGAUGUGAGCUCUUCUGUAGUAGGAUUAUUUAGGUCUAAUUUGUACAUAUUUGUAAGAGGUGAAUCUUGGAGGUAGUUGAUUAAAUUUGAUAGUUUGAGGGUCGAUUCCUCAACUAUUUCAAAACCAUCAGCAGGAGCGAUCAUUUUGAGAAUUUGAUUUGUACUUUAUUGAGUAUUUUUUUCUUAAUACUAUAUUUUUUCGGGUUAAAUCUUUGAAUAAAAAAGUUUUGAUUCAAAGGGUUUUGUGUUUUGUUUGUUGUGCAUAAAAAUUCAAAAUUACGACCAAAACAAAACAAGUAAA